rnacentral:rRNA from 1 species
UACAGAGGUCUCAAGCGUUUGUUCGGAUUCAUUGGGCGUAAAGGGUGCGUAGGUGGCGUGGUAAGUCGGGUGUGAAAUUUCGAGGCUUAACUUCGAAACUGCAUUCGAUACUGCCGUGCUAGAGGACUGGAGAGGAGACUGGAAUUUACGGUGUAGCGGUGAAAUGCGUAGAUAUCGUAAGGAAGACCAGUGGCGAAGGCGGGUCUCUGGACAGUUCCUGACGCUGAGGCACGA